GACGAACGCUGGCGGCGUGCUUAACACAUGCAAGUCGAACGGUGAAGCGCCUUCCUUUUUGGUGGGUGUGGAUGAGUGGCGAACGGGUGAGUAACACGUGAGUAACCUGCCCCCUUCUUCUGGAUAACCGCAUGAAAGUGUGGCUAAUACGGGAUAUUCUGGGUCUGUCGCAUGAUGGGUCUGGGAAAGAUAUUGUUUCGGUGGGGGAUGGGCUGGCGGCCUAUCAGCUUGUUGGUGGGGUGAUGGCCUACCAAGGCGGUGACGGGUAGCCGGCCUGGGAGGGUGGCCGGUCACACUGGGACUGAGACACGGCCCAGACUCCUACGGGAGGCAGCAGUGGGGAAUAUUGCACAAUGGGCGCAAGCCUGAUGCAGCGACGCCGCGUGAGGGAUGGAGGCCUUCGGGUUGUGAACCUCUUUCGCCAGUGAAGCAGGCCUGCCUCGUUUGUGGGUGGGUUGACGGUAGCUGGAAAAGAAGCGCCGGCUAACUACGUG
rnacentral:rRNA from 1 species